UUCAACCAGGACAGGAGUUCUGCUAUAAAGAGGGAGACCCGGGUUCGAUUCCCGCCACCUGAUGUGGUUACAGCCUCGGCUGGGAGAGCCAAUCCUGCAGGA